GGCCUCGUGCUCCGCUGGCAGGGCACCGUGACUCUCGAUCACGGCUACGCGGGUUCGAUUCCCGUCGAGGUCA
rnacentral:tRNA from 1 species